rnacentral:rRNA from 1 species
GACGAACGCUGGCGGCGUGCCUAAUACAUGCAAGUCGAGCGAAGUUUUUCUGGUGCUUGCACUAGAAAAACUUAGCGGCGAACGGGUGAGUAACACGUAAAGAACCUGCCUCAUAGACUGGGACAACUAUUGGAAACGAUAGCUAAUACCGGAUAACAGCAUUAACUGCAUGGUUGAUGUUUAAAAGUUGGUUAUGCUAACACUAUGAGAUGGCUUUGCGGUGCAUUAGCUAGUUGGUGGGGUAAAGGCCUACCAAGGCGACGAUGCAUAGCCGACCUGAGAGGGUGAUCGGCCACACUGGGACUGAGACACGGCCCAGACUCCUACGGGAGGCAGCAGUAGGGAAUCUUCCGCAAUGGGCGAAAGCCUGACGGAGCAACGCCGCGUGAGUGAAGAAGGAUUUCGGUUCGUAAAGCUCUGUUGUUAGGGAAGAAUGAUUGUGUAGUAACUAUACACAGUAGAGAC